rnacentral:tRNA from 1 species
CUUAUAUAAGCUAAACAUAAGCUAAUGAGUUCAUACCUCAAAAAUGGUAAAUCCUAUAAGUUUCUGUCUUGGACAAUAAA